GGUUGAUGAUGUGAGUGAAUCUCUUUUGUACUUCAGCAAUUGAUUCUCCCUUGAGCAUUCUAAACAUCCCAUACUCUUGUAUUAGAGUAUGUUUCCUAGCUCUCUUCACAUAGUUUGUUCCUUCAUGGGUGACUUCUAGAGUAUCCCACAUUUCCUUAACCGAUGCACAUUGUGAGAUCCUGAAAAAUUGAUCAGAAUUCAAAGCAGAGGUUAUGAUAUUCUUGGCAAUACAAUCAAACUUGGCCUUUUUAUUUUCAGCAUCAGUCCAUUGGGACCAAGGUUUUUCAAUAGAAGAUCCAUCCUCUUCAAAUUUUGGAAUAAAAUGGCCAUUUUCAAUUGCAUAUCAAAUUCCUUUAUCAAGAGAUUCAACAAAGAUUUUCAUUCUAACUUUCCAAAACUGAUAAUUUAAACCACAAAACAAAGGUGGCCUGUUAAUUGAGGCACCCUCCCCAAAAGGUAGUUUUUCAGCCAUAGAAAAAAAAAAUUAGGAUCAAACUUGAAUAUAUUUCAAGUACCAAGCUCUUGAUGUCAAUUGUUAGAAUAUAUGGCCUUAAAGAAGAGGGGGGUGAAUUGAUUAAGAGAGGUUUUUGAAAAAAUUUCAAUGUUUAACAAAUUCUUUGUGUGAACCCAGAACAAAAAUCAGGUUAGCCAAGAAUAUAAGCACUAAAGACAGCAAAGCAACAGAAAAACAAUCGGUUGUUUCUUCAAAACAAUCGAUUGUUUAUACUAGAAAAGCUUAAAACAAAAUUUAAAUGAGUUUAGGGUAAGAGAGAGAUACACCAACAGUUUAUACUGGUUCACUCUUAAACCAAGAGCUACAUCCAGUCCCCAGAAAACCACUGCGUAAUCCACUAAGUAAUCAAACUAUAUUACAACACACAAACCACCAAAGUAGUGACCUUGAACCCUUCAAGAAACACACUCCCUUUGGCAAAACACACCUAGGGUAUUGAUCUUGACUACCUCAAGAGCACACAACACUCCUUGGCAACACAACACCAAAAAUACAGUAGGUUGAGAAGGGAUUACACUUGUUUUCAAUACAAACUGAAAUCAAUACAAUUGCAAUCCUAUUUCACUCUCUUUGAAAACCCAAAGCUUGAUGUUAAUGUUCAAAUCUUGAAAUCAACUUUGUCACAACUGAAAACUCAAAUUUGUUUCUCUUUCUUGUUUGAAAACAUAAAUAAACCAAUUAUAUUUUCCAAAGAUUAGUCAAAGCAAUUAAUGAAGGAACGUAUUCAGUUGGAAAUCAUUUAAAGCACAUUCAACAACCAAAACAAAAUUCUGUUAGGAUUUUCAAAGAAAUAAUCGGUUGAAACCACGAAUCAACCGAUUCUUUGGUUUGGCAGUUAAGUCAACCAACUAAAAUAGUUUUCAACCUUUUCAAAAACUCCUAAGAGUAAAACAACCGGUUGAUUCGAAAAAACAACAGGUUGUUUUUCACUUAGUUGGAAAAAUACUUUAUUUUCUAAAAGGUUUUAAUUCACAUCAGUUUUAGAUUCAACAAAGGAGUGGAUCACAUUCUAUUCUACCCAGAUCCUUCCCCAAACAUAGCAGCAACACAAGCCUUGCAUCAAAGACAUAGGAUUUGGAUUCUUCAAAGCACUUGAUCAUUCUUGAUCAACAGAUAGGUCCUCUCGGAUCACAUUGCACAUCGAACUCGGACAGCUCGACCACCUAACGCACCAUCCGACCCGCCACGUCAGGUUUUUGCAAGACCUUGUGGAUGGGAAGGUCGGUCAUCACGAUCACCGUGAAACUCUAAACAUAGUAGCGGAGCCUUCGUGCUGCAAAUACUACUGCUAGAGUUGCCUUCUCAAUGGCCUGAUAGCGCACCUCGAGCCCCUGCAACACUUUGCUAACAAAAUAUAUAGGCCUCUUAAUGCGAUCUUGCCCCUAGACUAUGACUGAGUUGACCGCUCAAUCUGUAAUAGCGAAGUAUAAGUGGAGGGGAGUACCUGGCAGCGGCUUGCACAGAACCGGCGAGCUGGCCAAGUACUCAUUCAGCUUGAGGAAUGCUUCCUCACACUCACCUGUCCACACAAAUCGGUUGUUCCUCCUUAAGCAUUUGAAAUAGGGACAGGGCGACCAUGUGUCCUGUUAGCUACUGUACCUCCUUCACCGAGAUCAGACUUCUCAUGGCUAUGAUCGCUGCACACUUCCUGGGGUUCGCCUCUAUUCCCCGCUCGGUGAGGAGAAACCCUAAGAACUUCCCUGCUUCCACCCCGAAUACGCAUUUUUCGGGAUUUAACUUCAAUUUAUACCUGGCUAUUAUGGUGAAUAGCUCUUCUAGAUCGACAAUGUGUUGGUCCUUUUCCUUGGAGGUGACGACCAUAUCAUCCACAUAUGCCUGCACAUUUCACCCUAUCAUAGGGGCGAGAUGGUGUCCAUCAGCCUCUGGUAGGUUGCACCAGCAUUUUUAAGCCCAAAGGGCAUCACCUUAUAGCAAUAGCUGGAGAGCUUUUUCAUGAAUGUUGUCUUGCAUUCGUCUCGGGGAUGCAUCCAGAUUUGGUUAUAUCCUGAGAAGGCAUCCAGAAAAUUGAGAAGUCUGCAGCCUGACGCGCUAUCUACCAAGGCGUUGAUACUGGGCAGCAGAUAUGAAUCCUUUGGACAGGCCUUGUUCAAAUCCGUAAAAUCAACACACAUCCUUCACUUCCCAUUGGCCUUCUUGACCAACACCACAUUUGCCAACCACCUAGGGUAUUGGAUCUCCCUUUUGUGGCCAGCACUCAAAAACUUUUUAGUUUCUUGCCUGAUGACCAGGCGUCUUUCUUCACUAAAAUUUCUCCCCCUCUGUAGGACAGGCUUGACCUUUGGAUCCAUCGUGAGAUGAUGGCAUAGGAAAUCAAGGUUGAUGUCGGGCAUGUCCGAGGAAGACCAUGCAAAGGCGUCCAGAUGUCGUGCUAUCACCUCGAUAAUCUGGUCCUGUAUUUCUUGGCUUAAAGAUUUGCCAAGCUUAAACUUCUUUCCCCCGAUCUCCCUUUCCAGCACCUCACCUGCAGGCUUAGGUCUCCUCUCCCGGGCUAUCUCUGCACGGGCGACCCCUUCUCCGUCUUGAGGCUGGCUGGUGAUCGAGCAUACCCCUCUCUUCGUCUUCAAGCUAUUCUUAUAGCAUUUCUUUGCCGCCUUUUGGUCGAACUUAAUGGUAAUUAUCGCUCCCUCUAGGGAAGGAAACUUCAUCUUCCUAUGCCUCGUCGAGGCCACUACUCUUAUCCUAUUCAUGGCAGGUCUGCCCAAGAGGAUGUUGCAAACUUAGGGAGCGUUGACGACGAGGUACCUGAUAUUGACGGUUCGGGAUGUGGUGCCGUCUGUGUAGGUCAUCCUUAGCUUUAUGUGCCCCCUUACUUCUACCUAGUCUCUGACGAAACCGUACAGACAGCCGUCGUAUGGUCUUAGCUGGUCGGGCGACAACUACAAUUUGUUGAAGGUCGACCAAAAUAUUACAUCGGUCGAGCUUCCUUGGUCAACGAGGACUCGGUGUACCCUUCUCCCUACCGUUACCACUGAAAUUACCACUGGGUCAUUAUCAUGUGGGACCACAUCCUGUAAAUCAGCCUUCGUGAAGUAGAGGUCGGGCUCAGGUGACUGAUCAGGUUACCGUGCUUCUACCGCCAGCACCUCUCUAGCAUACUUCUUUCGCUAGGAGGCGGUGCAUCCUCCCCCUGAGAAACCCCUAGAGAUCGUGUUGACCUCGCCAUGGACUGGCACUUCAUGUCCCUGAUCCCCUGCUGGGGUCACCACCGUUGAGGCUUCGUGACCUUCCUCUAGGUAUUCUUUCAGGAAGCCAUCCUUCAUCAAAUCAGCCAAUUGGUGUCCAAGUGCCAAACAGUUAUGCAUGCCAUGCCCAAAGCCCUUAUGGAACUCGCACCAAAUGCCCCUGCUUGGCCCCAAUUUCUUGUCACACUUUGGGGGUGGUUUUAGCUUGUCGGCCACUUCUGGGAUAGCGAUCAACUCCUUGAGGUUUAUUCUGAACUUGAGUCGACAAGGCAUGUCUCCCUUCGCUUGCGCCCUAGUCUAAUGCUUUUUCGGCUCGUAGGGCACAUGUAUUGCUAGUGAUCUCUUCUCCAUCGCAACUUCAUGUACCCUCAUGGGUUGAGCUCGACUCCUCUCCCGAGGUCUUUUCGGUCCAACACUUCCACAUUUUUCCGUUACCUCCUCCUCUGUGUCGAUGUGGGUGACAGCUCGACACCGGAUCUCGCUAUUUGUCUUUGGCCGACACCUUAUUAAAGAAUUGCUGAAUGGCCCUGACAGAAUUCCCCGCCUGAAGGCGUGCACCAUCAGAGCUUCAUCCUUGGUGUGGAGCUUUACCAUCAACACCCCGAACCGGUUUAGGAAGUUCUUCAGGGGCUCUCCUUGGUACUGUUUUACUUCGAAGAGGUCGAAAGAGAUAGGAUGUUGAGCUCGAUUGACUAUGAACUGCUCCUUGAACAAAGUAGAGAACUGAUCGAAAGAGGUUAUGUGUCUGUUUGGGAGUUUAAUGAACCAAUAUAAUGACAUGUCUGCGAGCAUCCCCAUGAACAGUUUGCAAUGCAUGGCAUCUAUUCCUCCGCAGUUGACUUUGGGAACAGGUUGUAACUCCGUCUUGAUUGACAUUAAUGCACAUAUAAAAAUCAUUCAUAUCAAUUCCUCACAUACAAAAUUAUUAAGAUUGUUUCCUAAAUAUCGAUUUCUUGCAUAUUUGUAAAAAUGUGUUAUCAUUACAAAUAGAUGUUAUAAAGCAAUUAACAUUUCAAAUUUAUUCCUAGCAUUCAGAUACGUUAAGCAUUAUCAUUUAGGUCAAAUGCUUAGAAGUACUUUCCAGUCAAAUCUAAUAAUCAAACUCAUGAAUAAAGAUUCAAACUUUAAGAAUAAAAUGAUAAUACCAAUCAUCAAUCAAGAAAAUAUUAUAAAUGAAUAUUACCUUAAUAUAUUAGACUUUGAACAGAUUACUCUUAAUCGCAAAGGAAAGACUUAGCCACUCAUAUUGACCAUUAGAAGCAUGAAAAACAAGUAAAGAAGAACCAAGGUGUUUCUCCUUGACAGUUGCCUCCUCCAAGGUUUUUUAUCUCUGAUUAUCCUCCCAAUGAUGUCUAUGGUUAUACAUCAUGUCUUCUAUUUAACCUAAUUAGGCUUGGAUUAAGUGGCAUCUCGACCAAUCGAGAUAUUGCUUUCUUAAGCGAGUUUCAGGAUAAAAAGCCCAACUUUACUGGAGUGAACUCGCUUAAGAGAGCCUUGGGCGAGUCUUGCGAGUUCCUCUGGAGUGAUCUUGCUUGGGUGAGAUUUCACUGCUCCAAGUUUGAAUUUUCAUCUUGUCUUUCACUUGUCCAUUUUCGUUUAGCCAUUUUAUCUCCAUUUUCCCCUAGAUUCUUGAAAUUAGCACAAACUUGGGAAUAAAUCAUUCUUAUUAAUCUCAUAAUCCAAAAAAUAUGUAAAGAGGUUAAAAUUCCUUAAUUAGAUAUUGAAUGAUAAUUUUAUUAACAAUUAAAGUCCACAAGUGUCUAUCUUUUAGUAUGAAAUAUUACUGAAUUAUGGCACUUAUCAACUCCCUCCAAUCUAAAAUCUUGUUUGUCCUAAAGUAAAGUAAAUGAAUAUAAAUAAAUCAUAUUUGAGUUCAAAUAUCAAAACAACUUUAUUUACUAAACAUCAGAUUAAAUUAGAAACUUUUGGUGCUUCCAACUUCAAAUACAAUAAGAUAUACAAAAUAUGCAAAAUAUGACACCCUAUAAAGACGGUUCCGAAAGAACAGUCGUAAGAGAGGCAGUGGCAUUGUUGUAAUUUUUUUUCAAUUUUUUGCUACUUUUAAUGACGGUUUUCUCCUAAACCGUCGUUAUAUAUGUGAUUGAUGGAGCUUCAUAGGGUGUCGUUAUAUGUUGGGUCUGGCACAAAUUUCAGCUACGCUACGCGGAUGGUCUCUCACUCUCCUCACUUCAUGUUCCUCUCAUCGCUCCCUUUCUCACCUCUCCGCACGUAGCUACUCCAUUCAUCUCUUCCUUCUACCUCACUCUCACUGAAUCUACCUCACUUCAUCUUCUUCCUCGCACAACGUCGUGCCUCUGCCUCAAACCCUCGCCCUUGAAUCGCGUUGCCGCUCUCCUACUUUCACCGCGUUGUCACUCUCCUUCCUCCCUCACUUCAUCAUUUCCUCCGCAUCUCCAUAGAAAUCAUGUGCCAACAACGAAUCGCGCCUCCGCACGCUCUUUGUUGCGCCGCUUCUCCUCCACGACACUACUCUCCAUGCCGUCGUGUCUCUUCCGUACCACUGCCCAUCCUUCUAAUUUGAUAAAGGUCAUGGUGGAGAAGGUCUUUUAUGGUGAUGUUGUAGUUCCUGUUCCAACAUCAGAGGUGACAAUUGUAGCAGAGGCAUUGCAUACUUUCGUUGCCUGGCUUAGACAUCUCGUCAGACCUAUGGACUCUAUGGUAUAUCUUUGCACUAAUAGGAUUACAUAUCAGAUAUAUUACAUUCUAAGUAAUUUAAUUAUUUGUUUGUUUGUUGAUGAGUAGUUGGAACCUAAGACAAAACUGUCUCUGCGAAAGAAGAAAAAAUUCUCCACUAAUGAUCUUAUGGCGUUGGUGGAAGUUGCUACAGCUUUACAUACAACUGUUGUUAAGGUUCCAUGGGAUGCUAAUGUUUUUGGAAGGCAUAGUGAUGUACCCUUGUACAUUCACAUGUCUGAUUUGUUGGACCUUGCAUCUGGAAAUCAAGAGAUUAACAUAACAGUUCUGCAAUUAUGGAUGAUGUAAGUUCAAAUAUUAAAAUAUUUAUACUUUUGAUUAAUUAAAUAUAUUAGUUCUAACUUAUUGAAAUUUAGGUAUAUUUGUGGAUUAUGCUUCAAUGAGGGGAAACAAGAUAUAUAUGGGUUUUUACACCCUCAACUCAUUCAAUCACUUAGAAAUAAGAAGUCAGAAACACAAACAUACAUCACCCCUGCCUUAAAGAAUGGAGGAAAAUGAAUUUAUUUUGCUCCGUACAUCCAUGAGUAAGUCCAUAUUUAUUAAAUAAGUUAUACUAAAUUAUUGAAAUAAGAGAAACUAAUUGAUUUGUUAUAUAAGCGUCAUUGGAAACUAUUGAUUAUAUCUGUUCAAGAUCAUACCGCUGCAUGGUUUUGCUCCUUGCAUAAGAAACCCCCUACCUAUUUUAAACACGUUAUAGAUAGGUACGACAAUUUCAUUUAACAUUUAUUAUUACUUAUAUAUUAUAUAAUGUUAUGUAUUCUAACAUGAAAUCUUCUUAUUUCAGUGCUUACUCUGGAUAUAACAUGUUAAGUGAGAGGGGAAGUGCAAAUGCACAAAAACUCACUUGGAUGUACCUUAAUUUAAAGUACAUAUGUUCACUCAAUUUAAUGUGUCUCAUUCAUUCAUUUAAUACAUUUAUUUUUACAUGCAGUCCAACAGAAAAUCUGAAAGUUAUGAGUGCAGUAACUAUGUUAUGCAGUGGAUGUCAACUAUUGGGGUCAGGUAAUACCUCAAUACAAAAACACUUUAAAACUCAGAGUUUAUUAACUAAUUAAAAAAAAUCUAAUGUCACAAUUUUUCAAUGACGAACAGUCGCUAUGUUUGGAAGCAUUGGAGUACGUAAGGACAACAUGGUCAAAGUAUUUUUUAACCGUAAGAUAGAUAAAUUAUUAGAAUGAGAUAAAACUUUUUCAUAUAUUAGCAAAACUUUUUGUAGAAUGUUAUAAUUUGUUGUAUGUAUUUUCCAUAUUUAAAUUAUGAUUUUAAAUUUUUUAAUUUUUUGGAAAUUUAAUAUUUUAUGCAGGUUUGAGGUGUAUAUAUAUAAAAUAAAACAUUUUUUAAAAAAAAAAAUACAUAUAACGACGGUUCCACGUGGAACCAUCUUUAAAAUGCUUUUUUUUAAAAGGGACACACUUCCUCUACCAUCGUUAAAAAUAUUUAAAAAAUAUAUAUUUACAAUAUAAGUAAUGAUGGUUGAGGAUUCGUCGUUAUAAUUUUUUUUAACGACGGUUCUCCAAUCGUCGUUAUAAAUGGUUUAUUUAUAAUGACACCUGUAAUAACAACGGUUCGGGAACCGUAUUUAUGUCCUUUUUAACCAUCAUUAUUGUACCUUUUUGUACUAGUGAAUCAACUUUCAAGAUAACAACUGAAACAAUGAAAUGACAAUUUAUCAAGGGAUUUUUUCCCAUACGUUCACAGGUAAGUGCUUCUCUCAAUUUCCACUUAAUCCUAACAAAUCAAUUGAUUUUAAUUUCACCUUCAUAUUGUUAGAAUAUAUGGCCUUAAAUAAGAGGGGGGUGAAUUGUUUAUAAAAGAUUUUCGAAAAUUUUUGAAGGUUUAAUGAAACUCAGUGAAGAAAUCUAGAAGAGAAAUCAAGUUAGCCAAGAACACAAUCUGUUUUAAAGUGAAACACUGAAAAACAAUUGGUUGUUUAUUCGAAUCAAUCGGUUGUUUAUAUCAGUUAAAACUUAAACAACUUAAAAAUAGAAUUUAAAGGAGUUCAGAGAAAGAGAAAUGCACACAAGUAGUUUAUACUGGUUCACUCUUACAACAAGAGUUACAUCCAAUUCCCAGAAACCACUGGGUAAUCCACUAAGCAAUCAAAACAAAUUACAAAACACCACACACCAAAAUAGUGACCUUGAACCCCUCAAGAAAUACAUUACCUUUGGCAAACCACACCAAGAGUAUUGAUCUUGAACACCUCAAGAACACAACACUCCUUGGCAAUACAACAACAAAAAUACAAAAGAUAAAGAAAGGAUUACACCUGAUCAAAGUUCAAUUGAAAAGAAUACAAUUACACCUGAUCAAAGUUCAAUUGAAAAGAAUACAAUUGCAAUCCUAUUUCACUCUCACUUGAAAAUUCAAAGCUUGAUGUGAAUCUUAAAAACUUGAGAUCAAAUUUGUCAAACUGAAUUUCUCAAAAUUGUUUCUUACUCUUCAGAAACAUAUAACAAACUAUUUAUAUUUUCCAAAGAUUGGUCAAAACAUUUAAUGAAGGAGCAUAUUCAAUUAGAAAUCAUUUAAGACAGAUUCACCAUUCAAAACUGAAUUUUGUAAGGAUUUUCAAAGAAACAAUCGGUUGAAACCACGAAACAACCGAUUGAUUUGGUUUAACAGUUAAGUCAACCAAGUCAAACAACUUUCAACCUUUUUCAAAACCUCUAAGAACAAAACAACCGGUUGAUUCGAGAAAACAACAACUUGUUUUUCACUUAGUUGAAAAAAAAAAUUCAAAAAGGUUUCAAUUCACAUCAGUUUUAAAUUCAACAAAAGAGUGGAUUACACUUUAUUCUACCCUAAUCCCACCCACACAUAGCAUCAACACCAACCUUUCAUCAAACACCUUGGAUUUGGAUUCUUCAAAGCUCUUGAUCACUCUUGAUCAACAAUCUCCCCCUAUUUGAUGAAGACAAAUCCCUGGUUGCUUGUGUUGAUCUUGUUUGAAUCUGACACAGCACCUGUAAAACAGAAAUCAUGCAAUCCAGAACAUCUCUAAUAGCAGGUUAUAAUGAUAUAUCAACUAGUUUUUCUACAUAACCACAAGAGUAGAAAAACUAGCCAUAAACUAUGCCAAAAACAUCAAAAUUGCAACGCCAAAUCAAACAACAUAUGCUGCAGAAUUUAAAGGCACUUGAAUUUCCAAGAUAUGGAAUAUAUUCUUUUUAUGACAAGAAGUAACCUCCUCCUGAACCAAAUCAGACUCAUAUGACUGCUUCAUUGACUCAUAAUUCUUUUAAGAUUGAAAUCUGAAAAAGAUAGAAAGCAUAAAGAAAUUAAAUCAAUUUUAUGCAGAGCUGUCAGAGGAGAAACAAUCGGUUGUUUCGAGAAAACAAUCGGUUGUUUUUCUGAAACAACAACUAAAUAGAAUUUUUAAAAGCAAAGAAGAAUCAAAAUGUAAUUGCUCCACAUAUAUCACAAUUUGAUGAAGAUUUAACACAUAUUAAGAAAAGAAAAACAACAUAAACAAAGAAAGCCUUAUCCUUUUGUCAUAAAGUCCCUUCAAUGAGUCAUUGUUCAUGAUUAAGAAAACUUAUUUUGGCUUUUAAGAAGACUUAAGCUGGUACAGAAUCCUCAGUUCAAUUCCAGAAAGAAUCCUUUCCUUCCAAAAGCUUGAUUUGAUGACUCAAGAGUCCCUACUUGUCUUAGUAUUCCUACAACACAAAAAAUUCAAGAAACAAGAUUUGGGUCCUUAUGAUUUAUAUUUAUCACUGGAAACUUCAGAAUCUUUGGGAAUCCAUCUUAUAAUACCUUUAGGAACAUAAUAUUUCCUAAUUUUACAGAAUCUAACAGAGUGGCCUCUCUUCAUGCAAUAAAAACAUGUAACAACCGGUUGUUUCGAUUUUUCAAUCGGUUAUUUUUCUGGCACUUUUGAAAAAGGCUUUGAAAUCCCAUUUUUCUUGCUUUGAGGAUUAAACCCCAAACCAGAUUUUCCAGAAACACAUUUUUGGGAUGCCAAGACAGUUUCAAAGUUAUAUUUACCCUUUGAAAGUGUAUCCACAGUUCUUACAAGAUAGUGGACUUUACUCUCAAGAGUUUUACAAUUUUCACAAGCUUUUGAGUGACACAUGCAAGAAGAAUUCUUGCAAUGCAAUUCAAGAUUUUCAAAAUCAGUUUUUGAAUUUUCCAAUUCUUCUUCAAGUGUCUUGACUCUAUUUUCAAACCAAUUAUUCAACCCUUUCAACCGGUUGUUCAAGAGAGCCAAUCGGUUAGCUUCCUCAUGAGUUUCUUUAAAAGCUUGAAGCAAUUGACUAUAGUUUUCAGCAUUUAAAGAGGCACAAGAACUUACACUGCUUGAAUCAUCUUUUCUCUCUGCCAUCAAACACAGAUUGGCUUUUUCAUCUUCACUUGAUGAGGAGACUUCAUUUUCAUCCCAAGCAAUUGGCCUUUUUUGAUUUCUCUUUCUUGCUUGACUUUUUUUCCUUGCCUUCUUUAUUUGGGCAUUCAACUUUCAUAUGCCCUUGUUCUCCACAACCAAAACAAAUAUAAUUGUUAGGAGUAAAAUCACUAGUUUUCUUGUUUCCAUACCUUUCUUUGUUGGAUUCUUUGUUGCGGUUUCUCUUCAAGAAUUUGCUGAACUUUUUGGACAGCAAACUAAGAGUUUCUCCCUCACUUUCAUCACUUGAGUCUUGCUUAUUUUUGUUCUUGGCAACUUUCAAGGCUAUGUUCCUUACAUGCUUGUCUUCACUUUCUUGAACAUUGAGUCUAUUCAUCUCUAACUCAUGUUCUCUAAGCUUUCCAAAUAAGGAGGUUGUGGUUAAGGAUGUCAAAUCCUUAGACUCAAAGAUGGAAAAAUUUUUGGUUUCCAAGAUCUAUCAAGACACUUUAGAAUCUUGAUGCUCAACUCCUCCUUGUCAAAAGUUUUUCCAAGACUCAUUAGAUAAUUGACUAUGUGGGUGAAUCUCUUUUGCACUUCAACAAUUGAUUCUCCUUUGAGCAUUCUGAACAUCUCAUACUCUUGUAUUAGAGUAUGUUUCCUUGCCCUUUUCAUAUCAUUUGUCCCUUCAGGGGUGACCUCUAGAGUAUCCCACAUUUCCUUAUCCGCCGAUGCACAUUAUGAGAUACUGAAAAAUUCAUCAGAGUUCAAAGCAGAGGUUAUGAUAUUCUUGGCAAUGCAAUCAAACUUGGCCUUUUUAUUUUCAGCAUCAGUCCAUUGGGACCAAGGUUUUUCAAUAGAAGCACCUUCCUUUUCAAAUUUUGGAAUAAGAGGUUCAUUCUCAAUUGCAUCCCAAAUCCCUUUAUCAAGAGAUUCAACAAAGAUUUUCAUUCUAACCUUUUAAAACUAAUAGUUCAAACCACAAAACAAAGGUGGCCUGUUAAUUGAGGCACCCUCCCCAAAACGUAGUUUUUCAGCCAUAGAAAAAAGGAUUUAGGAUUGAAAACUUGAGUAACUACAAGAACUUAGCUCUUGAUGUCAAUUGUUAGGAUAUAUGACCUUAAACAAGACGGGGGGAAUUGUUUAUAAAAGAUUUUCGAAAACUUUUGAAGGUUUAAUGAAACUCAGUGAAGAAAUCUAGAAGAGGAACCAAGUUAGCCAAGAACACAGUCUAUUUUAAAGUGAAACACAGAAAAACAAUCGGUUGUUUCUUCGAAUCAAUCGGUUGUUUAUACCAGUUAAAACUCAAACAACUUAAAAACAAAAUUUAAAGGAGUUUAGAGAAAGAGAAAUGCACACAAGCAGUUUAUACUGGUUCACUCUUACAACAAGAGCUACGUCCAGUUCCCAGAAACUACUGGGUAAUCCACUAAGCAAUCAAACCAGAUUAAAAAACACCACACACCAAAGUAGUGACCUUGAACCCCUCAAGAAACACACUACAUUUGGCAAACCACACCAAGAGUAUUGAUCUUGAACACCUCAAGAACACACAACACUCUUUGACAAUACAACAGAAAUGCAGAAGAUUCAGAAAGGAUUACACCAGAUCAAAGUUCAACUGAAAAGAAUACAAUUGCAAACCUAUUCCACUCUCACUUGAAAAUCCAAAGCUUGAUUUGAAUCUUGAAAACUUGAGAUCAAAUCUGUCAAACUGAAUUUCUCAAAACUGUUUCUUACUCUUCAGAAACAUAUAACAAACUAUUUAUAUUUUCCAAAGAUUGGUCAAAACAUUUAAUGAAGGAGUGUAUUCAGUUAGAAAUCAUUUAAGACAGAUUCACCAUUCAAAACUGAAUUCUGUUAGUUCAAAGAAACAAUCGGUUGAAACCACGAAACAACCGAUUGAUUUGGUUUAACAGUUAAGUCAACCAAGUCAAACAGCUUUCAACCUUUUUCAAAACCUCUAAGAGCAAAACAAUCGAUUGAUUUGACAAAACAACAGGUUGUUUUUCACUUAGUCGGAAACACAUUUAAUUUUAAAAGGUUUCAAUUCACAUCAAUUUUAGAUUCAACAAAAGAGUGGAUCACACUUUAUUCCACCCAAAUCCCAUCCACACACAGCAUCAACACCAACCUUUCUUUAAACACUUUAGAUUUGGAUUCUUCAAAGCUCUUGAUCACUUUUGAUCAACACAUAUCACAAUCACAUUAGAACAUGAAUAUUAAGGUCUUUUUCAGGGUUAUAAUGGGAUUGAGCUUUCAAUGAAUAUUGGUUUUUCAUAUAAGAAAAUACACAAUUAAAAGAAAAACAACAUACCUACAAUGCAUAUGUGUUAUCUAAUCACUAACUUCUUUUGAGUUUAAUACUUUUCCCCAUUUUCUUUACUUAUUCAUGAUUUCAACUUUUUUUUUUCUAAGAGAAUAGAAAUAGAUUAUUCCUAUUUCUAACCAAAUGAAUUAUUUAAACUUAUAUUAUUCAAACAACUGAAACCAACCAUUCCUUUUUUUCUAUAUAUAAAUUGCAUUUAUGUUCUCCUUCCUUAAACAUGUCAACAGGUAGGAAAAUAUAUUAGUUAAGGUUCAGGGUGCAAUAAUAAUAACAAAUAUUCUUGGCUCAAAAAGGUUAUCACAGAGAUAUAAUCAAUUUAAAUAAAGGUUGGCUAAAUGACUCUAGCUUUCUAAUUAAUACAAAUGCCUUAAUCAUUUUCAUGCUCUUUUAUGAUGUAACAUAAAAUAAAAAAAUCAAGCAACCAUAACUGUCAUUCAUCAGUGAAACUCUCAAACUAUUUAAGAUUCACACACUUACUUGGCUUAAUUAGUCUAAUUCCUUUUUGCUUGUCAUUCUCUAUUUCAACUAAUCAUCCUAUUUAAUUUUUAUGUACCAUAAUCUAAACUAAAUUGGAAUAUGGAUUCAACACAUUUUCUUUUCCAACCUGUGUCUAUAUCAUUUCAUUAUUCUAAUCUUAAACACAAAUUUUGAUUAAUAAUUUUCCCACAAUUCAAAUUAAUAUUCCAAUUCUUACAAUAAUAUUUAAGAAUAAUGUAAACUAGAAAAACAACUCAACAAAUAAAAUAAAACUAAAAAUAACUCAACAUAUAAAAUAAAAUUUAGAAACAAAAUAAGCAAAUUAAACAAACUUAAAGGAAAUAACUAUAAAGAUAAAACCAUGUUUUGUGCUCAAUCAUCUCUUCUUAGCAACUCAUCCAACUAUGUGUUGAAAUCUUAAUAUACAGUCGUAGAUGGUCCUGCUUCAUCUACUUGAAUUGCCCCCCGAAGAAAUAAUACUUAUCUCCAAACCAUGCAAAUAAGCUCCAAAGUGAUCUGCAGGCAUAAAUUCUCAAAAUUUAUGUUAAAACAUUACAGAAAAUCCUUUUAUCAAAACUGAACUAUCAAUUUUAAUGGAUUAAAAAAUUUAUUUAAUAUGUUGAUUUCACUUAAGGUGAAAAUAAUGAAUUAUUUCAAAUUUUCAAUUUUUUAAAACCAUUCCGGAUAAUAACAUCCUUAAAACCAAGAGAUUUCAAUAAGCUAAAAACUAAUUAUAACAGAUUAAAAAAAUCUUUACAAAACUACUUGGGAUUUUAAAUAUAAUUUGAACAAAUUGAUUUCAUAAAAUAAUCAAUUGAAAUAUGUUGGGUUUAAUAGUGCCAAAGUUCAAGAGGGGGGGGUGAAUUGACCUUUUAAAACUUUCUCGCAGAAACAAUGUUUAACUCAGUUUUACAGAAAAUAAAUCGAUUUAUGUGAAAAUGAACAGAUUUAUUUCAGCACUGUUUUUGUUUGAAACGCUUUUAAUACAACAAUAUUAACCACAAGACUAUGCAGAUAGAUUUUCCAUAUGCAUACACACAGAUAUCAGAUUGAAAAACAGUGAAAUACAAAACAGCAAGUUUCAAUUUCCAGUAAGUGAUUAAGGUUCAAUUGAUAGCAUGCUAAUUAAUUGAGUGACCUUUGCAAACAACCUGUUCCAGUGGCUUUUAACAGACUAUGAGUGUUCUUCUUGAUGUCAAGCAAUUUUCCAGAAAUUAAGAACAAUGAAUCACAGAACAGCAAGCUUCAACUUUAAGCAAUUGUUUAAGGUUCAAUUAAUAGCUUUGACAGUUUCUUGGGCAACCUAUCACAGCCAAUCUGUUCCAGUAACUUUUAGCAGAUUUUAUAUGUUCUUAUCAGAUUAAGACAACUUUUUCAGAAAUCAAGAACAGUAUGCACAGUGCCCAGAAAGAACAGAUUUAUUUUCAAUUGAACAGAUUUAUUUCUUUGCUGUUUUAUCAAUUAUGCAGAAACGAAAUUGCAGAGAGUGAGAGAGAAUGAACACAAGCAAUUAUACUGGUUCACUCAACUGAGCUACAUCCAGUCUUCACCAACAACAGGUGGAAAUCACUAACACACAGUACAACCAAGAACAAUUCCCACUGUUCUUGAAACCUACAAGAACUUAGGUACUCUUGCUGAAAAAACCUAUUUCAGCAUACACACACACCCACUCUUCAAGAACACCUACCAAGAAGAGUGUUCAACCAAACUAUUACAAGAAAGAGAUGUGAAACGACUACACCUGAUUGAGGAUACACAGAUCUGCCUUAAACCAGUAGGCAAGAUUGCUAGAACAGUAGCUGCACCUCACACCAAGCUUUUGGAACCAAACCAAGAACAAGCACUUUGUGAUUUUUGAAUCUUUGAAGAACAAAUGCUAAUUCUUUGUAAACACUUAACUCUCUGCUGUCAAAACUUGUUUUUGCAAAUGUAUGAAUUGUUUGAAUUGUUAUUAAACUCAGAAACAAGUUUGCAUUUUAUAGAAAACCAACUUAUAACAGAUUUUUGAAAAACAGUUAAAGCUGUUAUAAAAUGAACAGAUUGAAAAUAAAAUGAACAGAUUUAUUUUCAAAAAGCAGUUAGAGAAUUUGUUAAGUGAGGAGACUUAGUCAACCAUUCUGGUGCAGAGAUAAAACUGAAAAACGUUUAAGCUUGACAUGGCACCAGAGACAAAAAGAAUCUAUUCAUUUACAGAUGAACAGAUUUAUUUUUCAAAACGAAAACAGAGAAAGUUUAACAAUUUAAAACUCAGUCGUUUUGAAAAGAAGAAGACUUAGUCAAAAUAUCUGAUGCACAAAAUCUAAUUUUUACAAGACUUUAGCCAAGGCAUCAGUGAAGAAAAAUGAAUCUGUUUAUUUAGAAAAGAACAAAUUUAUUUUUAUGCAGUAAACGUGUUUUUGUGUAAAACAUGUGAAAAAUAGUUUAAGAAAACUUAUGCUUGUUCUUAUCACAUGGCCAGUGGUUAUGAGGUGAGUUACCCAGCAAAAAGCCCACUCUUAGACAACCUCUAAGCACCACCUAAGACAUACUUAAAGCAAAGCAAAAUACAAAUGAAAUGUACAUAUAAGACUUCAUCAAACACUACAUAUAAGUUCAUCAAACACAAUCUUGAAGGGGCAGCAACCAUCUUCAACAAAAUAUUCACUCCAAUCUUUAAAGAGGUUAAGAAUUUUUAACAGAAUAAAAAUAUCAUUUAGAUCCAUUGAAAUUAUCUUAAUACGAACAAUAAGUUCCAAAUAGUCUGAAAACAUUCUGAAAUUAUUCUUGGAUUAUGUGGAUCAUUAACCUUGGUAAUCGGAAAAAUACAGACACAUAAACUCACAGACACACACUAUGUAAUCUAAGUCUUCUCUUCAAACUUGGAUUCAUCAAAUAACUCAUCUUCAAUUGUACCUGCAUAUGAGUGCUUUGAGCAUAUCUUGUUUAGAUUCAUAAAGUCUGCGCACAUUCGCCAUUUGACGCUCACCUUUUUUUACCAUGACCACAUUAGCUAAUCACUCUGUGGUACAAUCCAAGUAGACAAGAAGAUGACCAAGGACUCAAGAGACCAUUCACACUAUGAGCAGUCAUCUCAACAAUCAAGUCAAGACCCCACCAAAGAUCUAAUGGACCUCACCAGAAGAAGAACUGGGCAUAGACAUGUCGUAAAUAAUUUGGGGUCACUUUAGGGGUCCAAAUAACAAGAUAGGCUAUAGUAGGUUCAUAUAGCAUAAAAGGGAGUGUUCUUAGCGAAAUUGGCUUAUAUUAAGCCCACUUUUCAAGACAAGGCAUCUAGGUUUAGGAAGGUUGCCCUACCUUCUAGAAAACCUAGCCAAAGGGGUGGUUUUGACUUUAGUCAACCUCCCUUGGCCGCCCCUUUUCAUGCCCAUUAUACCCUUGUUUCAUCUUGUUUUCCAAGGCACCCAUUGUUAAAAAUAGGGUGUCUUGCCUCAUGUUAUGACCCAUUUAAAAUUUCAAAUAGAAAGGAAACUCUGCACAAAUUGUGAGUGAGAUUUGUGUUCUCUCAACUUUGGUCUUAUCUUGUGAGAGUGAGAGCUCUUCAAGUGGCGACCCUCAUCACUUAUCUUGGAGAUCCCACACCUCCAAGUGGCGUGUUCAUUCAUUCCCUUCACCAUAAGCUUUCCUAUCCUUCAUCUUUUCUUCCAUUUUCGAUUACACCAUUUAUCCUUGUGUUUAUGUUCUUGUUUUGCUUCCAUUUUCAAUUCGGUCUCCUUCAUUAUAUUUGCUUCCAUUUGUGUUCUUUCAUUUUCGCAAAGCAUCAUCAUCUUCACCAUAUCUUGUGUUUUCCUUUUUGCCUUUGGAAGUGAACAUUCACACUUAACCACUUGGUUAAGUUCGUGUCCAGUGGGGAUCUUCCCUAGGUCUCACCCUAUAAUUGCUAAAAUUCAAACCAUGAACAAAGUGCCACCAUUAAAAUGGACAAACCUAAAAUCAACUCACAUCACUCUGGAUAUUAGAUUUCCCGAAUAUGCUCACACUAAAAGAAAAUCAUUAAAUAGAUAGAGACAAAAAUUCAUUAGUUACUAUAUUGACUAAAUUAGAUACUAUGUUAGAGAUUAAACAAAAUUUUGAUAUCUAAAGUAGUCUCUAUUAUUAAUAAAAAUCAUAAACUACUUUCUAAAUUGGUAUCUAAUUAGCUACCAAGGUAUCUACAGUGGUAUCAAAUUAACUGCUAGUAUCUAAAACUUUGGUUGUUAAUUAGAUACUAAUUUAGAAACUAGUUUAUAAAUUUUAUUAAUAAUAGAAAUUAAUUUAGAUGCAAAUAAGUUUUUAGUCUCUAAAGUAGUAUCUAAUUUAGUCAAUAUAGUAACUAAUUACUUUUGGUAUCUAAAAUUUAUUUAUAUUUAAUGAUUUCCUUAUAGUGUCACCCACUAGUAGUUUAUGAUAUUCUUCUUUGAUUACCUGUCUUUUUUCUUCACAAAUUUCCUUCUUCUCUAAAUAAUUGGCUUCACCCUCGGUUGACAACUAAAAGAAUGGCAUAAGAAGUCGAUAUCUAUACUAGGAAUUUCAAAGGUCGUCCAGAAAAAGAACUAUAAGUUUGCUUUUAUCAAAUUUAUCAAUUUACUCUCGACUUGUUUGUGCAAGGCUCUGCCAAUUUUUAUCUUCUGGCCCUUCCUAAUGUUCGUCAUCUCCCACUAGUUGCGGCCUCAAAUCUUUGUACAUGAUUCAUGGUUCAAGGUCUAAAUUUUUUAUAUCGAAUGAGUAGGUUGUUGAGUAAGCAUUUUGACACAUGUGCAAACUAUUCGCGUGAAACUUCCAGGUCGUCCUUUAAUAUACCUUUAAUGUCACAAUGUUUCCUUUAGAAGCUGGGAACUUGACUUUGAAAUGUAUGAAAGACACUAAUGCUCCUAGUUUAUUCAAGAAAGGUUUCCCAAGGAGCAGAUUAUAAGUGUAAGGACCUUUAACUACAAUAUAUCUCACCAUAAUAGUACUUAUUGACUCUUCAUCGGUAAAGGUGGUUUGGAGAUCAACAUAUCCCCACACUUCUACUUGAACUGCUAAAAAUCUGACCAAAACACCAUCAGAUGACUUGAGUUGAUCUGAUACAGUCAUUCUUAAGUGUUGAAUGGAGAUUGAUGGAAGGCAGCGAAAGACUUGUAAAUUUGUGGAGGGAGCACAAAAUGGCUAUAGAGGUUCUUGGUUUGGGCAUGAGUUUACAAGGUUGAUGACUAUUUUACAACAAGUGUACCGUGUCAGAAGUAAUAAAUACCUAAGGAUGAAUAUUGAACUCACAAGGAACAUUUCCAAAUCUCAAGUAUAAUAUUCACUAAAUAUAAGAAAAUAUAUAAAAGUUUUUUGGAAAGGUUGUUUGUAUGGUGAAUUUGCAAGAAAUUAAAUAAAGAAAAGUAAAAGAGUUGUAUGAAUCAAUUGGGGUUCAUCCUUCUCACUCGUCUAUAUUUUUCAAAAGAAUAUAAUAUUCAAUCUUGAUUGAUAUUGAUGCAUAUAUAAAAAUCAUUCAUAUUGAUUCCUCGCAUAAAAAUUAUUAAGAGAGACUCCUAAAUAUCGAUUCCUCGCAUAUUUAUAAAAUUCCUUAUCAUUACGAACAAAUGUUAUAAAACAAUUAACAUUUCAAAUCUAUUCCUAGUAUUCAAAUAUGUUAAGCAUUAUCAUUUAGGUCAGAUUCUUAGAAGUACUUUCCAGUCAAAUUUAAGGAUCAAAAUCAUGAAUAAUUCAAUCUUUAAGAAUAAAAUGAUAAUACCAAUCAUCAAUCAAGAAUUGAAAUGUUAAUGGUUUCUAAAAAAAUAACUUAAACAAUAUGUUUAGUUUAUUUCAUAUACGAUUUGAUAACAUAUACCUAUAUUUGUUCAUAUACACAAUACAUUCAUAGUAUAUUACCACACAAAUAACAUGUACAAGAGUAUGUUAUCAAAAUAAAUUAUCUUAACAAGACAACUUUAUUCAAGUUAAUUAUCACUAUAAAUUCACAAGUCAAAUCAAUUCAUCAUCUUAUCAUCAACUACAUGCAUACACACAUACAAACAAACACACGUACACACACAUACCACACAUGGAUCCAUGCAUUCAAUGAUAUUUAUCAAGGAAUGUCUCAUACGGAAAACUCAUAAUAAGCAUUCACUAGUAGAGACACUACAAGAAAAAAUAGUUUUAACGAAGGUUUAUUUUUACAUUAUCAAGGGUUAAAACCCCUAUUAAGUCAUUUACCCAAGGUUGCAGUUUGCCCCGUUAAACCAUCCCUGGGGAACGUAUUUCCCGGGGUAUUUUUAAACCUCAAGAAAAGUCUUUCAAAACCCUUACUAAAUAUCAUGGGUUUAAGAACCUCCGUAAAAUACCAUGGGUUUCAAAACCUCUAUUAAGUAUCAUAGGUUUCAAAACCUCCGUAAAACACCAUGGGUCUCAAAACCUCCAUAACCAUGGGUUUCAAAACCUUCGUUAAAUUCUAUGGGUUUAAGAACCUCCGUAAAAUACCAUGAGUUUCAAAAUUUCCGUAAAAUGACUUGUCGUUUGAAAUAACCUUCAACCCCAUUUUCCACCAUCCACUACAAAAAAAAUCACGUUUAGCGACCACCAAAUUCGGUCACUAAAAGCACUAUAAUUGGUGGCUAAACAUAUUUGCGACCGAAACAGUCACCAAAUAAAGAUGGAAGCGAAAACCCUAGUCGCAAAGCCUUUAGCGACCGAAUUAUAAAGUGGUCGCUAAUUUGCAACCGAAAUUUCGGUGGCUAAAUCGGUCAUAGAAAAUUUGGUCAUCAAAAUUCAGAAACCAAAUUAGCAACCGAUAUUUCAGUGGCUAAAUCGGUUGCAGAAAAUUUGGUCACCAAAAUUCGGAAAUCAAAUUAGCGACCAAACUUUUGUAAACAAAUCGGUGGCUAAAUUGGUGGCUGAAAUAGAAGGUGAUAGUGACCACCAUUUUCGGUCGCUAGUGGAUUAAUUAAAAAAAAAACUUUUGGUGGCUAAUUCGGUGGCUAAAUGGAGACCCUAUAACAACAUAUUUGAUUUCGAUGGCUAAAUAUUUUUUUUAAUUACAGCAAUCGAUUCUAUUUCAGUAGCUAAAAAACAACUUUGUAGAUGUAGCCACCAAGUCGGUUUCGAUGACUAUUUUUUAUGUAUUAUUAAUAUCUAUUUAAACUAGUAUUUUGACCAUUUUAUAAAAAAAUUCAAAUAUGCUUAUAGAUACUUAAAAUUGUGGGAAGCUAAAUAGGAAUGAACUUCAAAUACAUAAUUUAAGAAAUGAAAUCAAAUUGAUUAUUGUUAAAUAUAUAUAUAUAUAUAUAUAUAUAUAUAUAUAUAUAUAUUUGUUGUAGUAAGAAGUAAUUAAGGAAUUAAAAUGUUUAAAAAUACAAGUAUUCGGUUUUAAUGUUAAGUUUUGUAAUAACUAAAAUCAUGUCAAGUCUUCAUGUUUCAAUGGAUCAAAGGUUAUGCAAUGUGACGUAACAACAACACUAAAAUAGUAUUAAUAAAUCCAGGUUCCAUAUUUUUAUACAAACAAGAAAGAGAAACCUAAUUUGGAUGAUGAAGGAUUACAGUGUCUUUGUAUAUAAAAUGAACCAAGGCCUAAUAGACGCAAGAAAAUAAUUAGAUAAUGAAGAAAAAUGGUAUGAGAUUACACAUUAAAACUGAACUAAGUAGCAAUGCUACCUUGAAAACUCUAGGCUCCAUGUCAUUGAGAACUAUCACCCUAUCAUCUUUCCCUAACCCAUUGGAAAACAACAGGAAAAAUAAAACUGGAUGCCUCACACUAACAACAUUCUUCAACAAAAAUAAUGCAGGUGCCUUGUACUUCUCAAACAUAAGCUUUGUUGUCCUGCAAUAAUAAAAUCCAAAAUAUACGAACUGACACUUUAAGAUGAGCUCAUAAUUCUAGACAAUAAAUUAUAAUAAGAAUACAUUUCUCUCUGCUAUUGAGAGUUUGAAGAAGGCUCUACAAGGAUCAUAGGAUGCUCUUUAGGAUCAAUAAGUAGGCAAUCCCUACCAAAAACAGAAAGCAUGGUCGAUCAAUAGGCACUCUCUACCAGAAAAAGAAUGUGAACCAGUGACAAAUAAAAUAAUAUGUGGAUUUUAUAGUGACCAUGCAUGAAACUUGUUUUAAAUCAUGCUAUUUAAUUAGAACCAUUUGUCUGGACACCCCAAGGUAAAAAUUGAAGCAACAAUUACCCUAUUAACAUUCUAGGGUAGGUUAAAAAUUCAUUACAAUCUUAAAAUGCAACAAUAAAAGAAUAGUAAUGCAUAUUAUAGAAUUUGGCACAUGCAGAAUUAUAUACAUGAAUAGAGUCAUAGUAGCUGGGAGGAUGAAACUAGCCUAAGGGGGUACUGUUGCUCCCCCAUGGCAUGGACCAGCAGGUUUGAGAUCUAGAACUACAGAAAAUAAGGUCUGCAGAUCAUGUAAUAUGAAGCAUGGCCUCAGUAGGAUGGAAGGGGAAAUGUGUGUGAAGCAAUUACCAAGCCAAUGUUAAAGCAGAAUAUAAACUUAUUGAAUGAGGGGUGUCGUGCAAUAGGGAUGCAAAACCUAUACAUGCUUCAAAAUGAAAUGAGAGCAAUCAAAACUACAUCUAGAAGAAAAAAAACAUUAUUGUUGAAAAUAACCAUUACAUGGAAAUUAGCCUUACCUUUAGUUGUCUCUGCUGGAAGAACAAUUUAAUAUUGACAAGGGUCUAAAUCUACAACUACAACAAAGAAAUUAAAAAUAAAAAAAAAGAACCCAGGUAGCAAAAUUGAAGUGAAUCAGGAAAGCAUGAGAGUAAUUGUAUUAGGUUUAACCUAUGAAGCUAUAAUGGGAAAUAGUUGGUAAGAAAACCCAGAUGAUGCAAUUGAAAGGUGUAAGCAGAGAAAAUGUCACUUGGCAGCAAUGUUCAUAUUCAAUAUAGUUUAUAAUAGUCAUAGAUUAAAUAAUGUGAAUGGAAUCAGAAGCAAAGAAUGGUGGCAGAGUAAACUUGCUUCUAAAUGCAAGGUUUAGACAAUCCAAUUAAAGCUAACACACCAAUGUCUAUAAAAAAAUUCAUUAUUAUUAAGAAAACUAAACAUGAAAUAAAGCUUCAACUAUUAUCUAUGUCAUUCCUUAUCAAUUAUAGGAGCAUACGAUCCCAAAACUAUUGUCGCUGGUAAAGUUUGUGAUACUUUAGUUAUAGUUAUAUUACAAAACCAAAGCAACACUAGAUAAUAAUAACUAAAAAUAUACGAGAAACUAAAAUUAAAAUUAAAAAAAAUAUAUAUUAACUAAACCAAGAUGUUGAAAAUAUAAUUAUUAUACAAGAACAAACACUUUAGAAUUUAACUUGAAUACCUGCAAGUUCAUAUACGAAUUAAUAGAAACCAAAUAACCUGAAGAAAAAAAAAACCAGUGAAGACAAUCAACAAAAUGAAAUCCAUGCAGUAUUUGACCACCUUAGGAAACUGCAAGGAAGCAUUUAGAAAUGAAAUAACAAUAGAGAAAAUGAUCCAUAACAAAUCAUCAUACCCUUGUACUCCAUUCUCCACUUGAGUUUCACAAUUACAGGCUUCCUGGUCAAAUUAUUCAAGACAGGUUUGGGAUUAACUGGUAUAGUCUGCAAAACACGAGGUAAAAAAUAAACUUACAAAAAUUAGAAAAUAAAGCACAAUCAAUCACACGCUGUGAUCUUUUAUACUCAAAGAACAUUGGCUAGUUCUAGAUCUACUUCCACUAAAACUCUUUCAUUCCGAUUAAACAUCAAAAAAAUGCACAACAAUUCAGAAAAUGGAGAUCGGAGAUCUAGGGCAUGAAAAAUGGGGAAAAUGAAAAGCAAUUUUAAGAAACCAAAUCGGGGCAAAUUGAAAACGAAUACCAAAUAAGAGCUUCGAUUGAGAUGAUUGAGCUUCGAUUGAGAGAUGAAGAUUAGAAUAUAUGGAGAUGAAGAGCAAACAACUACUGUGUGUAUAAAAACCACGAAACUUUAUAAGUAUGUGAAAAACUGCGGGAAGUGUGUAAGAAUAUGAGAGUGUGUCACAGAUUUGCGUCAUUCUCGUUCGCGAUGCAGAGGCCCUAGAAAGAGAGAGAGAGGUGGGGGAGCAAUGUAGCGAAAACCUAAAUUGUUGGCGUUCAUCGUCAUCGUCGUUGGCGGCAGUCUAAGAAGCCAUGACCUGAGCGAGGCGCUGAGCAGCGGCUUUGCCUGCAACAUUCUGAGUCCUUUUGACGGUUGAAAUUCGAGUUGCAGUGAGGGUGAGUGAGGAAGAACAAGAAUGGCCAUUUCCUUUUUCUUUUUCUUUUUUUUUUAUUAUUAUUAUUAUUAUUAGUAUUAGUAUUAGUAAAAGACACAUUUAUAUUUAGCCACCAAAAAAAAUCGGUGACUAAAAAAUAAACAUAUUUGGUGGCUGAUUCGGUAGAAAAAAUAAACCGUUACAUUUAGCGACCAAAAGAAAAUCGGUGGCUAAAAUAUAAACAUAUUUGGUAGCUGAUUCGGUGGCAGAAAUAAACAAUUACUUUUAGCGACCAAAAGAAAAUCGGUGGCUAAAAUAUAAACAUAUUGGGUGGCUAAUUCGGUGGCAGAAAAUAAGCAAUUAUAUUUAGCGACCGAAAGAAAAUCAGUGGCUAAAAAAUAAACAUAUUCGGUCGCUAAUUUGGUCGCAGAUAUAUUUUUCCCAAUUUAUUCAAAACAGCCACCACUUUAGCGACCGAUGGUUUUGUGACUCUCAUGUUCGGUCGCUGAUUCGGUCGCAAAACUAACUAACAUCAUUACAAUUCAUUCGGUCACUGUUUCGGUCGCAGAUUUGACACUGAAGGUAUUUGGUGGCUAUUUCGGUCGUAAAUUGCAACUACUUAUUUUCGGUCGCUAAAUUCGGUGACUAAAUAGUUAUUUUCUUGUAGUGAUCUCUAACGGUCCUUCUAACUUCUCUCUUCCAUCGUAGACACACUACUCUCCGGCACAGGCUUAAUGAUCGCCAACGACAAUCCUAACAAGGAAUCACAAUUCAGUCACACUUAUGUUUAUUAUAUCUAAGGACAAGAAACACUAAAUAAAGCAUUAUCUUCUUCUUACCCCAAUAUUGCUUCUUCGAUCACCUUACUACCCCAACUCAUGUCACAAGCCACUGUUACCUAGCUCGACAACAACUAAUGUUUAUCACUUCUUUAUAUAUCAUAAAUAAUUGCAUUAUUUGUUAGAUGUUGACUUCAAAGUCAUGUGUGUUCUUGGCUACGAGGGCUUCAAAGUCUGUAAGAACAUAUUGUGAGGAGAAAUUAACUUUAUCAAUUCUCAAUUUCACAGUGAAUUAAUUAUUGGAUGAAUUUUAAAAUAAAGGUCUUAAUCUAAAAUAUUUCAAAAUUAUGAGAAUUAUAUAUUGACAAUUAUAACUAAAACUAACAUUACAGAUAAAAUAUACAUACAUCAAAAGCUAAAACAAAAUAAGUCAAAUUUUUUGAAGUAUGAGUUCGUAACAAAAAAAACUAGGAAUUAUAUAAACCAAAUACCAUAAAUCAUAAGAAAUAUGCAAAUACUGUUAAAAUACUUAUUAUCCAAGAUUAUUUUGCUGAAUUUUUAAAAUAAAUAUUUGAAACUUUAGAAAACUUAUUUGUAAUGUAAAGUUACAUUUUCAAAAUUUUAGAGAAUUUAGUUAUAAAAUUUAUAAAUAUAUUAAAACUAUAUAGUUUUCCAUUAUUUAUUUAUAAAUAGAUUUAGUUAUAUUUAUUUAUUGAAGUUCGAAAAUAAUGGAGUGUUUUCUUGAAGUUCAACAAUAAAUCUUUGAAAUUUAACAAAUGUUAAAAAAACAUCCGUUAUUUUUUUGAGAUUUUAAAUAUAAACCUUGAAAUCAAUUAAAUCUCAGUUAAUUAAAUCAAUUCAUUGGAUUAUUUAAACUUCGCUAAAUAACCUCCAUUAAAACCUUUUUUUUUCUUGUAGUGAGACUAUAUGAAUCAAGGUAAGUUUAAGGUAUAGGCAUAUCCAAAACUCAUAAAAGGUGUUUUGACGAUACAAUAAACUUCCCUCCAACUUCUUACCACUUGUGGAUGGAGUUCCUUACUCCUUCCAUAAGUUCUUCGGUUGAAGAUGGUUUGAAUGUGGAGAAUGGAUGAAAAAGAAAUAAUUGAAUAAAAAUGGUAAGAAAUGAAUGAGUUUGGGUGUGAAUUAUGAGAAUGGUGCUAGGAAGGAGGUUAGGCCAAUCUUCUAUCUAAUUUUCUAAGGCUUUUAAACUUAAGAAUGAGAGCAAAAGAAAAAUGAGACUUGAGAGAAACCAUAUAGGCAUAAAUUUAUUAAUCAAAUCAAGUCUUAUGUUUAUAAUAGAAGAACUCUUUAUUUAUAAAGCCAAAAUUGACUAAUGGAACAAAAAACUCUUCAUUCAUGGAGUGAUAUGUGACACCUAAAAACUAUUCAUUCAUGGGUUGCCAUGUGGCAAUAUAUGUAUCCCAAAGCUCUCCAUUCAAGAUGUGACAAGUGGCAUAAGGAGGAGAUGAAGGCAAGCAUGAGGUGCCUAAGUCAUCAUGAAGGACAAGGAAGAGUCGCUUUGGAAAAAGGAAGGGAAGGGCUUCUUGUAGGUGUCCAAGUGGCGCCUAUGUGUAUGUCAAGUAGAUUUCCCUUCAAGCUCUAAGGGCCCAAAAAGUGUAAUAUAGAAUUUUAAAGAUAGAAAUAGAAAUUUCUAAUUACUCUACAAAUUUACAAGACUUUUAGAAAGAAAAUCUUCUAUUAAACAAUUGUUCUCUUCUGGCCUAAAGAUUUUGGGGGUGGGAUGGUCCUCCAUCACUUGAUGUUUUAGUUUACACGACUUGGACUAUCAAUGAAUGUAACAACAUAAUUUCUUGCUUAAUACAAAAAUUCAAACAAUGGUUCACAAAUCAUCUCAGAUGUGUGACCCUAAAUUCAUACAUUUCUCAUCAUUCUCAACAACAUUUUUUGUAUACAACAUAAUUCAUUUAAACAACACCAUAAAUCAAUUCAAUGUACAAUUAUAUAUUAUAUUUACAUUUAUAUUUAACAUUCAUAUUCAAUCAAUUAACAUAAACAUAAAUUAAGAAAAAAAAAUUGUUUGAGUGAAAAAUCAUUCACUUAAGCGAAAUAGGACCAAGAGCAAAGGUUGAGUUUGUACUCUAUUUUUGCUUGAGUGAAAAUAUCAAAAACUCAAUUGUAUUCAAUAGGACCAAACGGACCAAACUGUUUCCAAAAUUUUACUCAAAAUCAUUAUAAAAAGUUCAACUUUUAAAGAAAUUAAAAUGGUCAUCACAACUAUAAUUUGCUUAGUUACCAUACUCUACUGAUUUCAAUUCAACCUUGAUCAUUCAAAUUUAAUAUAAUCUCCAUCCACAUUGAAUACUAAACCUAAACUCACACUAAUACCUGAAAACUAUGGGAACUAACUUUACUCCUUUGAACUAUAUUUAAAAACCAAUUUAAGAAACUUCAUACCUUAACAUGCACAAUUUAACCACUCUAUCAACAUCUUAACACAAGUAAUGAGUUCAGGGUGUUAUAGAUCAAACACCCAUUAACUCAAAACUCACAAUUGCACCCAACUUAAACUCAAGAUAACAAUUCUUAUUCCAAACACAACAAAAGAAUUCACUUUAACUUUAAAGUCAAUUAACAAAGAAAUCUUCAAUUUAACAUGCAUUUGAAUUCUACUUCAAAAUCUAAAUAUGAAAUUGUAACAAAACAAUUAUUUUACUAAAUUCUCACAACUAAACUAAAUCAUGUUUCAAAUUCAUUAUCAAAAUAUCUCUAAGGAUAAUUUUCAUUACUUAUAAUUCCAUGCUUCCAAGUAAGUUCUAGCUAAAAGAGAAGAAUCACUUAAAAUCUAGAAACAACAAAUUAUUCAAAUAUAACAAAAAUUCAAUACAAAUUUUAUAGUUAAGAUUAUCACUUUUCUCAACCCACCAAGAUUCAUGAAAAAAUCUAAAAGAAAAAAAAAUAAUAAAGAAUUUUCAAAAUCAAAUAGUUACUUACUUUAAUUAAAAAACCGACUCAAAAGAAAAAAUUAUAGGAACCAAAAUUAAAAAUUUAUAAUUUUCUAAAUAGUAAAAGCAUAUUUAAUUUUGUUAAAUUUCAUAUUUAAAUUUCUAAAAUAUACUUUGCUACAAACAAAUGAAAUAAAUAAAUGAAAUUAUUACAUUUAGUAUGUUUAUUAUAUUUCAUAAGAUCAAUCAUGAUUACACGGUAUAUUCAAGAUUUUUUAUUAUGGUAUUUUCAGAAGAAAAAAAUAUAGAGUACUAAAAAUAAAGAUAAUUUUACACUGGUUAGUUACAAAUAUUAAUAAAUUAAUUGAGUCUUAUAAUAAUUACCUUAAAAUUUAUACCAGUAGUAACUUAUAACUAAAUGCCAAUAUAAAUACAAUAUCAUCUUAUUGAACUCUUAUUUAUUUUAUUCUUUAAGAUUGAUGAAAAGUUUAUCUUUUACAAACCUUUUGUGCAUGCAUAAUAAAAAAAAUCAUUGAUCUAACCGUUAUGGGUGACAUUUAUUAUAAAGGACAAUGCUAUGCUCAUAUCAUAUAUUCAUAUAUGCCCUCGUGAACUUGCUUUUCCCUUUUUCCUUUUUAACUACACUCGUGAGUCUAUUAAGCAUUGGAUUAAACUAUGGUGACGUGUAUUUCAUUGAAAUGCAUAUCUUAAAAUCGUAAAGAUUUUUAUCUCAUGAUAAAUUAUGGUACAAUUAAAAGUUAUUGACUAAAUGUUCCCAAAGUGAAGGACAAUGUACCCAUGAAUUUUCGAUUUUUGUUUAUCUUAUAAACGAGGUAUUCUAAUUAAGAGAUAAGAGAAAAAAAAAUGUAUUUUUAAAAUUUGAAUACGAUAACAUCAUUUUUAAUAUUUUGAAAUUCUUAAAACUAAAAAUCUCUCUUAAGAGAAGUAUUUAUUUAUUUUCUUGAACAAUAUUUACACAAAAUUUAUUAAAUAAUGUAAUUUCGAUUUCUAAUUCAGUAAUUUAAUUUUUCAUUAUUUUAAUAAUUUUUCCCGAUAAUAGAAAUAAAGUGUAUAAAAGAAGUGUAUUUUUGUCCCAAUUAAUGUAGGGAGACUUUUACGUUUUUUUGUUUUUUUAUUUGAAAUUUCAAUCGAUGAAAAGAAUGAAAAAUAUAAUUAAGUAUAUGUUUCCGUAAAGAUCUGGUGAAAAUAUGUACUAACUAAUCAUUCGAAUUAACAAACACAAUCUUAAUGUCUUCUGAUAUCUCGAAUGAAAUGAAAAUCAAUCUCAAUAUGCUUGAUCUUUUUAUAAAAGAAGAAAUUUGAGCUAAUAUGAAGAGUAACUUGAUUAUCACAUAUGAGUGUCAUCUGAGUGAUCUCUCCAAAUUACAAUUGUUUAAGUAACUAUUUAAGCCAAAUAAACUCACAAGUAGCUGAAGUCAUAACUUUAUAUUUUGCUUCAGCACUAGAUCUUGUCACAACAUUUUGUUUCUUGAUCUUCCAAGAAAUCAAAUUAUCACAAAUAGAAACACAAUAUUCGAAAGUUGAUCUUCUACCAAAUAAAAAUCUUGCCCAAUCAACAUCUGAAUAACAUACAACUCUAGUAUGAUUAUUGUGACCAUAUAACAAGAAUUUUCUAGAAGAAUCUUUAAUGUACUUCAAUAUAUAAAUGACUGCAUUCCAAUGAUCAACACAUGGGAAAUUAAAAAGAAUUGACUCAUCACACUAACUCCAAAUGAAAUAUCAGGAGGAGUAACAAUAAAAUGGUUCAAUUUUUCAACUAGUAUUUUCUACUUCACAGGAUCUGAGAGAGGCUCCCCGUGACUAGGUAGGAGUUUGACAUUAGGAUCCAUAUGUUGUUUUAUUUGAGAGAUAUCAUGGUGAUCACUGCUUGUAAGAACAAUAUUAUCAACAUGUACUACUAGAUAGAUACACCAACACUUGAGUAACACUAAAACAAUUAAUGAUCUACAUCACUACUUGUCAUACCAAAUUGUUGAACAACAUUACUAAACUUUCCAAACCAGACCCUAUGCGAGUGCUUGAGGCCAUAUAAAGUUUUGUGAAGAUAACAUACCAAUCCAGAAGACUCCCCUUAAGCAACAAAACCAAGAUGUUGCUUUAUAUAAGUUUCUUUCUGCAAAUCCCCAUUACGAAAAACAUUUUUGAAAUCAAGUUGAUAAAGAGGUCAUCUUUGAAAAGCUUUCAUGGCUAUGAAUAAACUAACAGAAAACCAUCUUUGCCACUAGAGAAAAAUGUAUCACCAUAGUCCAAACAAAAAAAUUGUGUAUAACCUUUAGCCACAAGAUAAGCUUUGAGACAAUCAAUAGUACCAUUAGGACCAACUUUGAUAGCAAAAACCCAUAUGCAACCAAUAAUAGAUUUCCCAUAAGGUAAAGGAACAAGUUCCCAAGUUCCACUAGUCUGAAGAACACUUUUUCAUCAAUCAUUGUUUGAUGCCAACCAGGAUGAGCUAAGGCAAGUAUAAAGAGUUUGAGAUAGUCGAUGGUAGCUUAAAGUAGUAUAAUGUGGAGAGUGAUUAUGGGUAGAACUUAUAACUUUAUGGAUGAUAAUUAGGAGAUUAGGUUCAACUAUUGGAGACAGAGGGGCGAAGGAGUUGGCACUGGAAGAGAGUCAUUUAGUGGACGAUAAGAAGUGUGAUAACAACUGUAAACUUGAAGAGGUGGUGGAGAAGGAGAAUCUUUAAGUACACUAGACACAACAAAAGGACCAAAGAACAUUGGAAUAUGUACUUGGUCAGAUGAACACACAUGUGGAGAAGAUAAAUACUUAAAAUGCAAAAAAGACUCGAUGAAGGUGACAUCUGCAGAAAUGAAAUAGCGGUUAAGAGAGGGUGAGAAACAUUUAUAUCCCUUUUUAGAUCUAAUGAACCCUAAAAGGACACAUUUGUGUGAUGUAGCAGAUAAUUUAUCAAGACCAUGACAAAAACUGUGAACAAAACAUGUAGACCCAAAAACUUUAAGUGGUUAGGGAUGAAGAAGUUCAUGAGAAAAUAGAAUAUAAUAAGAAAUUUUAUUCUCUAAAAAUGAAGAUGAGAUACCAUUAAUUAGAUAACAUGCACUAAAAGAGAUUGUCUUAAUGUAUCAAAUGAAGGAGUACUAGAUGAAGUAGGUAAACAAUAGAUGUUUGAGAUGAAGCAUUAGAAGAGACUAUAAAUGAAGAUUAGAGACAAAAGAAAAAACUCUAAAAUUCAAAUGGACUUCGACCUACAAGACAAAGUCAAGUUCAUAACAAGAAUGACGUGGUGAUCCUAUCGAUGCGACAAUGUUGUGGCAGAACAAAGACGAUAGUGAAAACAACUCUAGUGAGCAGUGAGUUCAUCAAGAAGGCAAAAAUAUUAACUUACCUCUAAAUACCAUAUUAAAAAAAACAGGAUAAAUAUCUUGUGUAAAAUACACACAUAGAGUUGUUUAUUUAUAAAUGAAAAUAAUAACAUAAUAGCAUAACAAUAACAUAAAUUAUAAUUCAACAAAAAUAUUUAACUUCUAUAUGACCUAUUACUAACCUUACAUUGUAUUUAAAGAAAAAAAGUUACAAAAAUCUAUGUGAUGUAUCAUUUUAAUAGUACUAAAGAGAAAAUACAACCAAAAUUAUUUUCAUUAUGGAUAAAUAAUUUAUGAAAAUCUUAUUAUGAUGAUGAAUCUCGUAACACUUGUUUAUUCUUAAGAAUGAGAGAAAUCUUUAAAACAAUAUUUUAAAAUUCUAAAUUAAGAGAUAAUAUAAAAGUUAUUUAGUCAUAACCAUUUCUUUGUCAUUUUCUAAAAAGCUUAAAAGGGUUUAGAAAAAAAUAAUAUUUAAUACAUGCUUUUGGAAAGAAAAUAACCAAAUAAUAUUGGCUUUGAUACCAAUAUACUUGAUGAAAAAACAUAUAUGUAACGAAGAUUUUUUUUAAAAGACUUGAUGAUUUUAAUCAAAUGGAAAAGAAGAAAGUGUUUCCUGGUUUAAUAUAUUAGGAGCUAUAACAGCGAGAUUUGAUUAUUUUAUAAACAAGAUAAUCGAGUUUCACACAUGAUACUCAAAUUGUUUUUUUUUAUAUGAAAAUAGAUUCACUAAAAUAGAAAAAAUUAAGUCACUUAAAUAUAAAUAGUUAGUUGGAAAUCUCUGUUAAUUUAAUGGAUAAUAACCAAUGAAUCUUGAUAAUUGAUCCAUUAAAUAUAUUUAAUAAUGGUCAUUCCAAAGUCUUAAAAUUAUAUCUCUCUUAAAAAGCUAUAACUAUGAAGUCCAACCUUAAAAGUUGAAGAUGGUAAGCUAUCUUGAAAAUAUGAUAAAAAUUAAUUAUCUUAUCUUUGUAGGAAAAAAUUUUCCUUUCAUUGGAACUUGUGAAAAAGAGAAAUGCAAGUAAAGAAAAAUAAUAACAUAAAGAGAAAUAAAAGAAUAAAUAUUCAUCAUAGUCUAAGAUUAAAAAUUAUAAAGAAUUAGUUAUGAUUUUUUCAAUAAUAAUAAAUAUGACAUGUAAUUCAAAUUAGUUAAUUGAAUUUUUCUAUAAAAUUUAUAACAUAUAUUAUUAGACGUGUGAGACUUCUCACAUAUAACUAUAUAGUUUUAUCUAAACCAUAAAUAUGAUUUAACAUCUCGAUAAAAAAAAAUACCUCGGUAAAGUUAAAUUAAAAAGCAAUGAAGGAGAGCUAAAAAUGAACUAUUUUAAAAUUAAUAAAAUAUUAUUAACUUGUCAAAUUUUGCCACGUCCAUAAAAGCUAGUUCUUAAAGUGGCAUGCUUUGGAAUGGUCCUCCACAGGGACCAGCGUCAUCCACAAACGCCAUUUAUUAUUUUUUAGUAAUGCCAAACAUCGUGCAAUGCAUUGCUUUGUUUACAUUAUAAUAAUCAUUGUUCUAAUAUUUUGCAACUUUAUAAAAGUGGACGAUGACGACGAAAUUACGUGGAAGAGAAGGACAUAUAUCUUAAACAUAUUAAUUAAGAAGUUAUUAAAUACGAUUUAAGUAUAAAAAGAAUACAAUAUGAAUAUGUUAAUAACAUUUAAUAUUUUUAGCUAAUUAGUAAAGAUAAUUUUAGAAAGUAAUAAAUAUUAAAUUUUUAAGUUAUAUUAAGUGUACAAAUUAGUGUUUUAAUUAUGUAGUCAUUCAUUUAUACAUUUUAUAAUGUCAUUAUUAUUAUUUUAAUUUUCGUUUACUUUUCUCUAAUUUUUUGAAAAUCAUUCUCAUUUUUUUUUUCGAUGAAAGAGUACUAGUGAGAUAGUGGUAAGCAGAAUUGAUUUUCACAAAUCAGAAUUAAGUUUUUCUCUUUUUAAUAUCUCAACUUUUUUAUGGUUUAAUUGCAUAUGGAGUUUUAGUCGAAAACACGAAUGUCUGGUAGCAUAGGUUCAUGUUGAUAUCUUUAAUUUGUAAAUCAAACAUCAUGAAUACAAGUUAUAUUUUCUCUACUUUUUUUCAUAGUUUUUUUAGCAAUUCUAUAAAAAAAACACACACACACAAAAGGUAAGGCAACUGACAAAUUUACUUUAUAUUUAUUUAAAAAUUGAGUUGAAAUUAGAUUUCGAGUUAAAGCUCAAACGUGUUAAAAUGAUUUGAGAUUAAAAGUAUAAUUUGAUAUUAAAAUUGUUAAUAAAUAUUAAAUAAUUAAAACUUAAAACUUAAUAUCUCAUUAAACCGUUGAUAAGAUUUGAACAGUUAUACCUUGUAAAUUGAUAGUUUUAGUGAAUCAGGAUUUUUAACAUUAAACCUUUAACAAACUUUAACUUUUGAUUUCAGAAUUUUUUUUUGAUUGUUAGAUUAUAUAUAUUUACUUUAAAAGAUUUUUCAAAUAAAAAAAACUAUGGAAGCUGGAGCAACAACAAAAGUUGGCAAAGUAACUAAACUACAUUGGUAACCAUACAUACACACAUUUUAUUAUACUAUAUAAAAUUAAUAACGGAUGUCUCUCAUAUGUUCAAAUAACAACAAUAAUAAAAUAAAAUUUCAAAUUCCAAAAACAAAAAAUAAUACUAAUAGCAUGUUUGGUUUUCUAACCAAGAAUGGUACUAAGAGCAGCACCGACCAGAAUGGUUAGUGAGUACACUCCGAAACGCGAUUUCGACAUAGAUGACGCGCCGUUUGGCCGGGACGGCGUCGUUUCGUUUGAGGACGAUCCCGGCGAAGACGAUGAAGACGGGCUUGUUGCUGCCGGUGUUGAUUCUGAAGGAGGAGACGACAAUGGUGGCGACGGUGUAGUAGCCGGAGCGAAGGGGGAAGGUGGGUAUGAUGGAGGGAUGGUGGAUGGAUAGGGUGAUAGGGAAGGUGGGGAAGGUGGGGAUGAAGAUGAUGGAGGUUGGGUGACAGGGGAAUUGGAAUUUGGAGUUGGGGCAUAGGGGUAGGGUGAUUGAGAUGUUGGGGAAGGAGUGUUUGGAGGUGACGGAAUGUAGGGAGGUUGGGAAAUGGGAGAAGGAGUGGUGGAUGGUGGUGUGGAAAUGUAAGAAGGUGGCUGGGAUAUUGGGGAAGGAGUGGUGGAUGGUGGUGUGGAAAUGUAAGGUGGCUGGGAUAUUGGGGAAGGAGUGGUGUUUGGAGGUGAUGGGAUGUAAGGAGGCUGAGAUAUUGGGGAAGGAGUGUUUGGAGGUGAUGGGGUGUAAGGAGGCUGGGAAGUAGGAGAAGGAGUAUUGGGUUGUGGAGGCACAUAAGGUGACUGAGAAAAGGGUGAUGGGGUUAUUGGAACAAAGGGUGGUUGAUGAUGAGGGGAAGGGGUGUUUGGAGGUAGAGGAGCAUGGGGUGGAUGGUUAUUAGGGGAAGGAGCAUAAGUGGGAGAAGGUGUGUUGGGAGGUAUGGGAGCAUAGGGUGGUUGAGCUUUGGGAGGAAAGGGAAGAUUAGUAGGAGGUGAAGGUGCUUCUGGAGGAGUAUAAACAGGGGGAGGAGUUUGAUGAGGUGGAUAAGGAGCUUUUGGAGGAGAAUAUGGAGGAGGCUCUCUCACAGCCAACACCACAAUAAUAAGUUUCUGACCCUUCUCACAAUUAUAAUCUUUUCCACUGAUGAAAUAAAAG
rnacentral:lncRNA from 1 species